CCAUCCCCUGGAUCCCCACAGGGCUGAUACAGCAUCGCUCUCCCAGGCUCCAGCAAGAUUGCAAUGACCUCUGGCCAAUCUUGGCUGCUGAUUUCUAACUUCUAACCAAAAGCAAGCCUGCAGUUUCAUUUCUGAGCUGGGAGCAACUGGACUGCAGAAGGUGGAAGAAAACAGGGACAGAAUCGAAUACUACAAUUAGGGUGAUGAUCUGUGAGAGGAUGGGCUAAAAGGAGUAUUUAAGACUCCCCAAAAUAGCUGGAGUCUGUAGAGCAUUUAUCACAGGUAACGCCACAUGUGAAUCUAAAAAUAGUGUCUCUGAUGCUGCGUGUAUAUGACUGAUAUUAAAAAUGACUGAUAUAGCAGAAAGCUCUCCACCUCCAUUGCCAGCC
rnacentral:lncRNA from 1 species